AACGAACGCUGGCGGCAGGCUUAACACAUGCAAGUCGAACGCAUCGCAAGAUGAGUGGCAGACGGGUGAGUAACGCGUGGGAACAUACCCUUUUCUACGGAAUAGCUCUGGGAAACUGGAAUUAAUACCGUAUACGCCCUACGGGGGAAAGAUUUAUCGGGGAAGGAUUGGCCCGCGUUGGAUUAGCUAGUUGGUGGGGUAAAGGCCUACCAAGGCGAUGAUCCAUAGCUGGUCUGAGAGGAUGAUCAGCCACAUUGGGACUGAGACAGGGCCCAAACUCCUACGGGAGGCAGCAGUGGGGAAUAUUGGACAAUGGGCGCAAGCCUGAUCCAGCCAUGCCGCGUGAGUGAUGAAGGCCUUAGGGUUGUAAAGCUCUUUCACCGAUGAAGAUAAUGACGGUAGUCGGAGAAGAAGCCCCGGCUAACUUCGUGCCAGCCGCCGCAGUAAAAC
rnacentral:rRNA from 1 species